GCUGUCCUGAAGGGUAUUUCCCUAUUCCAGAGGGUGCCUGGAAGGCAAUAGCAGUAGCUUCUUGGGCUGUGGCUCAGUGGUAGGGUGCCCUGGGCUCCAUCCCCAGCAUUCUCCUUUUCCCUGCUAGCACCCAGAAGAUCAGUGUUGUUUUAUCACAAAUAGGACUGACUUAUAGACUUACUAAAAUCCUUUUCAUAGCAAUUUAUCCUGGUGCUCAACUCCAAAUAACACAUCCAACUCUCUCUCCAGACUGAGGAACGCAAGGACAGUGACGAUGAGAGGUCAGACAGGAGCAGGCCUUGGUGGAGGAAGCGCUUUGUUUCAGCUAUGCCUAAAGGUAAUUUCACAAAACUUCAGAGUGCUGUCUGUAAGAACAAAGCCUCCAGUCUCUUUGGAGAGUAGUGUGGCCACGGCUCUGUGAUGCUGCGGGGCUGUCUCUAGCUGUGUGGAAGUGUAGAACUGCUGUCAUUGAGAUGAAUGCUCUGGCAGAGCUUUAAAAGGCCCUGUUCUUUGUGGGAAGUGGCUGUGGUGUCCUAGAUGGAGAUCAUGCCGGUCACUGUCAUUAAACGUGGAGGACUCUCAGCAUGCUGCUCUUAACUUAAUGUUGAAUUGCCAUUUUGACAUUCCUGGAGCAAAUCUAAGCUUUUCAUGUCUAUGUGCAUUGAAAGCGUGAGUGCCCUACAGAUGUAGAUAGUGUCAAUUGUGGAAAGGAGAUGUAUACAUUUAUUUUUCUUGAAUGCCUUACAUCCUUUGAGUUGACAAAAUUUCUCUUCCUGGAAAAAGAUAUUGUCCAAAAGUUGGGGUCCUCUUUCAUAGGCCUUUCCUCAGGCUGUGGCGCUUAGGAGCUGAGGAGACCUGCAUCUACCCGUGCUCUGGCCCACUUAAUGGAGAGGAGUGCAGGACGCAGGAACUCUGUUCUUUUGGCAAAGCUAAGAGGCAUUGGUUUUGACUUACUUUCAGUGGAUCCUCAUUAAUUAAAUCAUUCUUUCUAUGUCAAAUGACUCCACCGUAGAUUCUGAAAGCUUCUUUAAGAACCUUUGAUGCUAUUUUAAGAAUGAUUAUCAGUUGACGCUUGGGAUUUCUUAGCUUUUAAAGUUUCAACCUCCUUGCACUUAGAAAUGUUGGCACGCCAGCUAACUUCCGAGGAGUGUAGUAUGUUAUAUGUCACAGUACUGACUUUAUUUAAUUUCCAGCUCCUAUACCAUUUAGAAAG
rnacentral:lncRNA from 1 species